GGGCUUGUAGCUCAGAUGGCAGAGCGACCUGUUCGCAUUUCGGGUAGGUGUUGGGAUCGAUACCCAACUUGUCCA